UCGCAAUAGACGGGGAGGUAGCGGUGCCUUGUAACUUGCAAUCCGCUGUAGCAGGGUCGAAUUCCUAUGGAAGGUUUAGUUAUGUGUAGUCCGUUCUUUUGAAUUGAUGCUGAGGAGAAAGUCUUUUGCAAAGAAAUGCCUGUGAACGGGUCAGAUCCGGAAGGAAGCAGCCAUAAGGGGGUCACUUUUCUUGUGUAAGAGGUUACUUUUUCUGAGUCAAAGAAAAAGAAAACGUACGGAUGACUCAAUCGUAAAUAGGUUUGCGA
rnacentral:SRP_RNA from 1 species